GUUGGCCUCAACUUUCCUGAAGCCAAAGCGGGAAGGUUAAGGCCUGGGUGAGCUAGCGGAAAUGCACUGGAGAUGAGAAAAUCAAUGCCCAGAGAUUCUAAGUGAAGCCACCUCAGUGACAUAGACUGCUGAGACCCAACUCUGGAACCUCUCUCCCGUCCUUCCCUCUAGACUUAGCAGCUCUGCAUGCCUGCCUCUCUCACCUGGAUGCUUUGGAGCCAAGCUUUCGUCCCAUGCAAGGGAAACAACCACUUCUGGGAUGUCCGCUGCAAUCUGCUCCGGGGCUGCAG